GACGAACGCUGGCGGCGUGCCUAAUACAUGCAAGUAGAACGCACAGUUUAUACCGUAGCUUGCUACACCAUAAACUGUGAGUUGCGAACGGGUGAGUAACGCGUAGGUAACCUGCCUGGUAGCGGGGGAUAACUAUUGGAAACGAUAGCUAAUACCGCAUAAUAUUGAUUAUUGCAUGAUAAUUGAUUGAAAGAUGCUAUUGCAUCACUACCAGAUGGACCUGCGUUGUAUUAGCUAGUAGGUGAGGUAACGGCUCACCUAGGCGACGAUACAUAGCCGACCUGAGAGGGUGAUCGGCCACACUGGGACUGGGACACGGCCCAGACUCCUACGGGAGGCAGCAGUAGGGAAUCUUCGGCAAUGGACGAAAGUCUGACCGAGCAACGCCGCGUGAGUGAAGAAGGUUUUCGGAUCGUAAAGAUCUGUUGUAAGAGAAGAACGGGUGUGAUAGUGGAAAGUUCACACUGUGACGGUAUCUUACCAGAAAGGGACGGCUAACUACGUG
rnacentral:rRNA from 1 species